GACGAAGAUGAGGCCGGUGAAGAGCAGCACCACCAUGGAGAGGAAGGAGAAGACCACGCACACGCAGCCAGCGUGCAAUACAGUUGACCCUUGGACAACAUGGAUUGGAACCGUGCAGGUCUACUAACUAAUACACAGAUUCUCUUCCACCUAUGCCACCCUUGAGACAGCAAGACCAACCCCUCCUCUUCCUCCUCCUUUUCAGUCCACUCAAUGUGAAGACAAGGAAAAUGAAGAACUUUAUGAUGAUCCAUGCUAUUAGUCUGUUCUCACACCGCUAAUAAAGACAUACCCGAGACUGGGUAAUUUAUAAAAGAAAGAGGUUUAAUGGACUCACAGUUCUACAUGGCUGCGGAAGCCCCACAAUCAUGAUGGAAAGCAAAGGAGGAGCAAAGUCACGUCUCACAUGGUAGCAGGCAAGAGAGCAUGUGUGGGGGAACUUCCCUUUAUAAAACCAACAGAUCUCGUGAGACCUAUUCACUAUCACAAGAACAGCAUGGGAAAACCCACCCUCAUGAUUCGAUUACCUUCCACCAAUUCCCUCCCACUAUACGUGGAGAUUAUUACAAUUCAAGAAUAAGGAGU
rnacentral:lncRNA from 1 species